AUGGCCACCGAGGUCCUCCGCCCGCACAGCAUCCUGCAGCCGCAGACGCAGAGGAUCCGCGCCGCGCACCGGAGGCCCAGCAACCCCGGCACCGCCAGGAGGUCUCCUCCUCCAUCGGCCUCGACGACCGGCCGGAGAAACCAUGGGCGGCCUUCCUCUUCUUCUUCUUCCUACGGGAAGGUGACGUAUGCGGCCGCUCCGGCGAGGCGCCCCGCGGUGGAAGUGUACGCCGGCCCGGCCUUCUCCGCCGCGUCCCCCGAGCCGAGCUCGCUGCCGCUGCCUCAGUUCCCGCUCCAGAAGCCCGCGGCCGCCGUCGUCAACGACGCCGCCACGCGCGACCUCAGGCGCAUGCUGCGCCUCGAGUAG
rnacentral:rRNA from 1 species